rnacentral:rRNA from 1 species
AUUGAACGCUGGCGGCAUGCUUUACACAUGCAAGUCGAACGGUAACAGGCCGCAAGGUGCUGACGAGCGGCGAACGGGUGCGUAAUGCAUCGGAACGUGCCCAGUCGUGGGGGAUAACUACUCGAAAGAGUAGCUAAUACCGCAUACGAUCUAUGGAUGAAAGCGGGGGACCGUAAGGCCUCGCGCGAUUGGAGCGGCCGAUGUCAGAUUAGGUAGUUGGUGGGGUAAAGGCUCACCAAGCCAACGAUCUGUAGCUGGUCUGAGAGGACGACCAGCCACACUGGGACUGAGACACGGCCCAGACUCCUACGGGAGGCAGCAGUGGGGAAUUUUGGACAAUGGGCGCAAGCCUGAUCCAGCAAUGCCGCGUGCAGGAAGAAGGCCUUCGGGUUGUAAACUGCUUUUGUACGGAACGAAACGGCUCUGGUUAAUACCCGGGGCUAAUGACGGUACCGUAAGAAUAAGCACCGGCUAACUACGUG